GAUAUUAGCUCAGUUGGUAGAGCACUUGACUUUUAAUCAAGUUGUCCGGGGUUCGAAUCCCCGAUGUCUCA
rnacentral:tRNA from 1 species